UAGGGAAUUUUCCACAAUGGGCGAAAGCCUGAUGGAGCAACGCCGCGUGCAGGAUGAAUGCCUUCGGGUUGUAAACUGCUUUUAUAUGUGACGAAUAUGACGGUAGCAUAUGAAUAAGGAUCGGCUAAUUCCGUGCCAGCAGCCGCGGUCAUACGGAAGAUCCAAGCGUUAUCCGGAAUUACUGGGCGUAAAGAGUUGCGUAGGUGGCGAAGUAAGUUGGUAGUGAAAGCGUUCGGCUCAACCGGAUAAACAUUACCAAAACUGCUUUAGCUAGAGAGUGAGAGAGGUUAUUGGAAUUCCCUGUGUAGGAGUGAAAUCCGUAGAUAUGGGGAGGAACACCGAUGGCGUAGGCAGAUAACUGGCUCAUUUCUGACACUAAGGCACGAAAGCGUGGGGAGCAAAC
rnacentral:rRNA from 1 species